AUUGAACGCUGGCGGCAUGCCUUACACAUGCAAGUCGAACGGUAACAGGUCUUCGGAUGCUGACGAGUGGCGAACGGGUGCGUAAUACAUCGGAACGUGCCCGAUCGUGGGGGUUAGCGAAGCGAAAGCUUUGCUAAUACCGCAUACGAUCUAAGGCUGACAGCAGGGGACAGCAAGGGCUUGCGCGAACGGGGCGGCCGAUGGCAGAUUAGGUAGUUGGUGGGAUAAAAGCUUACCAAGCCGCCGAUCUGUAGCUGGUCUGAGAGGACGACCAGCCACACUGGAACUGAGACACGGCCCAGACUCCUACGGGAGGCAGCAGUGGGGAAUUUUGGACAAUGGGCGAAAGCCUGAUCCAGUCAUGCCGCGUGCAGGAUGAAGGCCUUCGGGUUGUAAACUGCUUUUGUACGGAACGAAAAGACUCUGGUUAAUACCUGGGGUCCAUGACGGUACCGUAAGAAUAAGCACCGGCUAACUACGUG
rnacentral:rRNA from 1 species